rnacentral:rRNA from 1 species
AACGUAGGUGGCAAGCGUUAUCCGGAUUUACUGGGCGUAAAGCGUGUGCAGGCGGGAGAACAAGUGGUGUUUGAAAUGGCUCGGCUCAACCGGGCGAGGUUAUGCCAGACUGUUCUUCUAGAGUGCGAGAGAGGGGCAUGGAAUUCCUGGUGUAGCGGUGGAAUGCGCAGAUAUCAGGAGGAACACCGAUGGCGAAGGCAGGUCACUGGGCCGCAACUGACGCUGAGGAGCGAAAGCAUGGGGAGCGAACAGG